rnacentral:rRNA from 1 species
GUAAGGAAUAUUGGUCAAUGGGCGGAAGCCUGAACCAGCCAUGCCGCGUGCAGGACGACGGCCCUACGGGUUGUAAACUGCUUUUGCCCGGGAAUAACCCCCCGCUCUUGAGCGGGGCUGAACGUACCGGGAGAAUAAGGAUCGGCUAACUCCGUGCCAGCAGCCGCGGUAAUACGGAGGAUCCGAGCGUUAUCCGGAUUUAUUGGGUUUAAAGGGUGCGUAGGCGGCCCGUUAAGUCAGGGGUGAAAUACGGCAGCUCAACUGUCGCAGUGCCCUUGAUACUGACGGGCUUGAAUACCGGUGAAGGCGGCGGAAUGAGACAAGUAGCGGUGAAAUGCAUAGAUAUGUCUCAGAACCCCGAUUGCGAAGGCAGCUGCCUAACCGGCGAUUGACGCUGAUGCACGAAAGCGUGGGGAUCGAACAGGAUUAGAAACCCCUGUAGUCC